rnacentral:lncRNA from 1 species
CUCCGCCCGAGGAGGAGGUGCGCACGUGGAGCGAGAGCGCUGAGUGGCGGGGCCCAGCGCGUUUGGGGAGCCAGCGUGGAGGACUGGGCUUGUGCGGGGGCGCUGAGUAACACCUGGGAGCAGCUAGGGCGGUGGGGACUUCCCGAGCCCGGGACGCGCGCCAGGCCCGCGAUCAGCGUGGGCAGGUGGAGCUGAGCCCAGUCGGAAGCAGGUGCUCGGUGCGGGCUAGGCUGUGCCGGGACCGUGAGCCCGACCCUGCGGGCAGCUCAACCGGGGAAAACCCUUCCCCGCAGCGGGAGGGGAAAGCGCGUUCCUGACGUUGACAGCUAACGUGCUGGAAAGCGAGGGAAGCUGGUCUGCGGUGGAGCCCGAGUGGGGGAGCCGCAAAGACCAGCUGAGUCUUAAAAUCUCCCAAGAGGUGCAGAAAAUGAACACAUCUCAGGCACAGAUGGAGGAGUCUGGACUGCCAGGAUGUGGCUUGUUGGGCUGCAGGAAUCUCCUUCACGAAGAGACACCUGGGAGCCUUGAAGACUGGUUAAGCCUGGGACCCAUCAGGCAGCCAUUCCAAAUGGGGAGUGAGCCUAGCCAGUUGAAAGGCAGAGCUGAGCAAUCUGGAAGCCUUGCAAGGACUGAUUCCAGCAUGCUGACUUGGGUGUCCUCAAUAAGAGACACCUGGGAGCCUUGAUUGCUGCAGAAGCCCUGAACUUCAGAGAAGGACUAACUAGAAGAACUGUGAAGAGUUGACAGAAAAUGUCCUCCCCAACUGGUGGCAUAGUCAGCAGGAUGAACUGUAACUGGUUGGAUCCUGAGAGACCUGGAACAUCCGACAGGCAUCUGGCAAAAGGUAAGAAGCCUCCCAGAACUCAGCCUGCAGGUCUAAUGGAAGCAAGAGUGGUGAGAGACCUUUCUCAUUCACUUUCUAAAUUUAGACAAGCAGGAG